CCCAAGACCGCAGGACUGUGUGUUUCUCUUCUUCAGCUCCUGUCACUGGACUAUAGGACUGUGGAUAUGUUGUCCGGACUACUUGCAUUUCUCCUUCUGGAGGUGAGAUCUGGGAACACCAAUCAGAAAAAGCAGGAAGAUCAUUCUUCAGGGAGCUUGUGUGCCUGCCUGAAAAGUUGGCUAGACAUUCAUCAGUUGACAGGGUGAAAACAAAGCAACGUAACACUGCAUCAAGAUGCGCAGCUUAUAAAAGAAAACGAGCCAAUAAAUCAGAUGAUUUGCUGUAACUACACAAGGUCAAAUUGCAAAACAGAUUGACUUUUCUCCACUAACUGUCCAGCUUAGGACUUAUAACAACUGAACCCUCGGGGAAUUAUUUUCAAUCUUUACAACAGAAAAUAAUUAAAACAUUAACUCUCUAAACAGGCUGAAAAUAAAAUAACCAAAGACCAAACAUCAAAAAACUAAAAAUCAGACACCAACAAAUGUCCUCUCAAAUGGUACUUAAAGUAGAAUUUGCUUCCUUAUUUUUAUAACUUCAACAAAAGGUAUCAGGAAUACUGAGCAGGUGAGUGAAGUCUAGACCAAAACCAAGGGAAAUACAGGUAAGAUAAGCAAAGUGAAUACAAUAGAACUGGCAUUUAUUACGCAGCAAGUAUGUGCCAAUGAAUGUGCCAGGUCCUCCACAUAGUAUCUCAACUUUACACAUACAACAGUUCCAUGAGAUGGAUAUUUUAAUCUUUGUAUUACAAAUUAAAACUUGAAGUAUAGCAAAGUUAUAUAAUUUAUGCAACCAUACACAGAUACUAAGGGUUUAGGUGCAGCUGUGGGAAAGUCCUUGUUGUUUUCCGGGAUUUCAUGCUGCCUCCUCCAUCAUCUUGUCAUCUGAUAUCCAAUCCCACUCUCAUCCCAGUGUCCAAAGCCUAAGUGAGCACAAAUUGCAAAUGAUUGUUGGACUUUAAGCUUCAAAGGGGAUGCAAGAGAGCCAGAGAUGUGGGUGGGUGGGGUUGCCGAGAAGAUCUACUAAAUGCAAACUCCAUUUCUCAUCUGCGAGGUUACAUGUGGCCAGCAUCCAGCAACACUGCACUUUCCCCCACACCU